GUGGGGAAUCUUCCGCAAUGGACGAAAGUCUGACGGAGCAACGCCGCGUGAGUGAAGAAGGUUUUCGGAUCGUAAAGCUCUUUCGUUAGGGACGAACGUGCUCUUUGUGAAUAAUGAGGAGUAAUGACGGUACCUAAAUAAGAAGCCACGGCUAACUACGUGCCAGCAGCCGCGGUAAUACGUAGGUGGCAAGCGUUGUCCGGAAUUAUUGGGCGUAAAGCGCGCGCAGGCGGGAUAUCAAGUCUGUCUUAAAAGUGCGAGGCUCAACCUCGUGAGGGGACAGAAACUGGUAUUCUUGAGUGUCGGAGAGGAAAGUGGAAUUCCAAGUGUAGCGGUGAAAUGCGUAGACAUUUGGAAGAACACCAGUGGCGAAGGCGACUUUCUGGACGAUGUCUGACGCUGAGGCGCUAAAGCUAGGGGAGCGAACGGGAUUAGAUACCCGGGUAGUCC
rnacentral:rRNA from 1 species